rnacentral:rRNA from 1 species
UAACGCGUGAGGAACCUGCCUUGGAGUGGGGAAUAACAGCCAGAAAUGGCUGCUAAUACCGCAUAAUGCAGUUGGGUCGCAUGGCUCUGACUGCCAAAGAUUUAUCGCUCUAAGAUGGCCUCGCGUCUGAUUAGUUUGUUGGCGGGGUAACGGCCCACCAAGACGACGAUCAGUAGCCGGACUGAGAGGUUGGCCGGCCACAUUGGGACUGAGACACGGCCCAGACUCCUACGGAAGGCAGCAG